rnacentral:rRNA from 1 species
GAUCCUGGCUCAGGAUGAACGCUGGCGGCGCGCCUAACACAUGCAAGUCGAACGGCACCCACCUUCGGGUGGAAGCGAGUGGCGAACGGCUGAGUAACACGUGGAGAACCUGCCCCCUCCCCCCGGGAUAGCCGCCCGAAAGGACGGGUAAUACCGGAUACCCCGGGGUGCCGCAUGGCACCCCGGCUAAAGCCCCGACGGGAGGGGAUGGCUCCGCGGCCCAUCAGGUAGACGGCGGGGUGACGGCCCACCGUGCCGACAACGGGUAGCCGGGUUGAGAG